rnacentral:rRNA from 1 species
CAAUAGCGUAUAUUAAAGUUGUUGCAGUUAAAAAGCUCGUAGUUGGAUUUCGGGGUGGCCUGCCUGGUCCACCGCAAGGUGAGUACUGGUCAGCCGCCCUUCCUCUCGAAAGCCCCGACUGCUCUUCAUUGCAGUGGUCGGGUAGUUCGGGACGUUUACUUUGAAAAAAUUAGAGUGUUCAAGGCAGGCUAUCGCCUGAAUACAUUAGCAUGGAAUAAUGGAAGAGGACCUCGGUCCUAUUUUGUUGGUUUCUAGGGCCGAAGUAAUGAUUAAGAGGGACAGUUGGGGGCAUUCGUAUUUAAUUGUCAGAGGUGAAAUUCUUGGAUUUAUGAAAGACGAACUAGUGCGAAAGCAUUCGCCAAGGAUGUUUUCAUUAA